rnacentral:rRNA from 1 species
AGCGAACGCUGGCGGCAGGCCUAACACAUGCCAGUCGAACGAAGUCUUCGGACUUAGUGGCGGACGGGUGAGUAACACGAGGGAACGUGCCUUUAGGUUCGGAAUAACUCAGGGAAACUUGUGCUAAUACCGAAUGUGCCCUUCGGGGGAAAGAUUUAUCGCCUUUAGAGCGGCCCGCGUCUGGUUAGCUAGUUGGUGGGGUAAUGGCCCACCAAGGCUACGAUCAGUAGCUGGUCUGAGAGGAUGACUAGCCACAUUGGGCCUGAGACACGGGCCAAACUCCUACGGGAGGCAGCAGUGGGGAAUCUUGCGCAAUGGGCGAAAGCCUGACGCAGCCAUGCCGCGUGGAUGAUGAAGGUCUUAGGAUUGUAAAAUCCUUUCACCGGUGAAGAUAAUGACUGUAGCCGGAGAAGAAGCCCCGGCUAACUUCGUGCCAGCAGCCGCAGUAACAC